rnacentral:rRNA from 1 species
GAUGAACGCUGGCGGCGUGCCUAAUACAUGCAAGUCGAGCGAACAGACGAGGAGCUUGCUCCUCUGACGUUAGCGGCGGACGGGUGAGUAACACGUGGAUAACCUACCUAUAAGACUGGGAUAACUUCGGGAAACCGGAGCUAAUACCGGAUAAUAUAUUGAACCGCAUGGUUCAAUAGUGAAAGACGGUUUUGCUGUCACUUAUAGAUGGAUCCGCGCCGCAUUAGCUAGUUGGUAAGGUAACGGCCUACCAAGGCAACGAUGCGUAGCCGACCUGAGAGGGGGGUCGGCCACACUGGAACUGAGACACGGUCCAGACUCCUACGGGAGGCAGCAGUAGGGAAUCUUCCGCAAUGGGCGAAAGCUUGACGGAGCAACGCGGCGUGAGUGAUGAAGGUCUUCGGAUCGUAAAACUCUGUUAUUAGGGAAGAACAAAUGUGUAAGUAACUGUGCACGUCUUGACGGUACCUAAUCAGAAAGCCACGGCUAACUACGUG